rnacentral:rRNA from 1 species
UACAGAGGGUGCAAGCGUUGUUCGGAAUUAUUGGGCGUAAAGGGAGUGUAGGCUGUGAGGUAAGUCUUCUGUGAAAUCUACGGGCUUAGCCUGUAACGUGCAGAGGAAACUGCUUCGCUUGAGUGUCGGAGAGGAUAGGGGAAUACCCGGUGUAGAGGUGAAAUUCGUAGAGAUCGGGUGGAACACCAGUGGCGAAGGCGCCUAUCUGGCUGACAACUGACGCUGAGACUCGAAAGCAUGGGGGAGCAAACAGG